rnacentral:rRNA from 1 species
UACGGGAGGCAGCAGUGGGGAAUAUUGCACAAUGGGCGAAAGCCUGAUGCAGCUAUGCCGCGUGUAUGAAGAAGGCCUUAGGGUUGUAAAGUACUUUCAUCGGGGAGGAAAAAACAAACUAAUAAUUUUAUUUCUUGACGUUACCCGAAAAAGAAGCACCGGCUAACUCCGUGCCAGCAGCCGCGGUAAUACGGAGGGUGCUAGCGUUAAUCAGAAUUACUGGGCGUAAAGAGCACGUAGGUGGUUUUUUUAAGUCAGAUGUGAAAUCCCUGGGCUUAACCUAGGAACUGCAUUUUGAAACUGAAAUACUAGAGUAUCGUAGAGGGAGGUAGAAUUCUAGGUGUAGCGGUGAAAUGCGUAGAUAUCUGGAGGAAUACCUGUGGCGAAAGCGGCCUCCUAAACGAAUACUGACACUGAGGUGCGAAAGCGUGGGGAGCAAACAGGGAUUAGAUACC